rnacentral:lncRNA from 1 species
GAAAUGACAAUGUUUAACCUAGAGAGAAGGAAUGUGAUAACUUUCUUCAAAUAUUUUUAGUACUGUCACAUGUCACUUAACCUUCCUAGGCAUCAGUUUCCUCAGCUGUGAAAAGGGAAUAUUAACUUCAUUACAAGGUUAUCAGGAGGAUGGGUAACCAACCAUCUUCAGUCUGUAUGUCUCUCCAAUGCAUCCUGAAUCACUGGGAUUCCUUUGAAAAGAGAAAAUCAACCUUCUUCUUCCUGUUUCCUCCUCUGUCCUCUCUUCAUGGAUGAAUAAUCAUGUCUCCAUACCACAGGACAUUUCCCUCUGUGAAAAGUUUAAUUUCUGCAUUAAACCACUUGGCUUAAAAAAAAAUGAACUGGGAAGACAUUAUAACUCACAUUCCCCUCUGUGAAAAGUUUAAUUUCCAUAAACCUUAAAUCACUUGACUUAAAAAAAAAAUGAACUGGGAAAACUCUAACUGAGCAAUCUCUUGAGGAAGGACAAUGUUUACAGUAUGCAAAUAACCUAUUUGUCUGCUCCCCCUUUACGGAACUCCAGGGUCAAAGGGCUUCAUAGCUCGGGGGAAGGGAACCCAGAAGCCUGACAUGCUGGCAAACGAGUAAAAGUUUUUUACCCAUCAGACUUCUGGCUUUUCUCUCUCUCUGUGCAAACUGUUUGAAUGAAUGAUAAAAAUCACUGUUUAUAUACUCUGAAACGUUGUGAUUAAUGGAAAAAGGAUUUGUGAGGUGAGUCUUAAGCUAUAGAGAAUCUGUGAUACUUUGUGUUAAGAAUUUCUCUUUCUGUAUCUUUCUAUCAGAAAGAGGGGUACCUUAGGAUAAAAUGUGGGUCUAGGCCCAAAUGUCCAACAAUGAUAGACUGGGUUAAGAAAAUGUGGCACAU